AUUGUCUGAGGCGUUUACAACAUCUUCCUAGACUCGAUUAAGUUAAAGCAAAGUUGAAAAAUAUAGUUUCAGCCGUUGUAAUCUUAGUGAUUGUUAUAGAAGUGUCAAGCAAUAGCUGUAAGGCCAACGGUAUAGAAAAUUACAAAACCCUCCAUUAGACUGUUGCUUGUUGUAAAGUAUCUAACAAGCAAUUUAAUUGGGGUUUAUAGUGAAUACACAAAUAUGAAACUCUUUGCUUUACACUUAACUAACACAAAGAUGUAAAACGUUUAGAUAUUGUUCUUAAGGCAUAUUGAUGACAUCUUUAGUAAUCUGAUUAAAC